rnacentral:rRNA from 1 species
CGCUGUGAAGAUGCAGUGUACCCGCGGCAAGACGGAAAGACCCCGUGAACCUUUACUAUAGCUUGACACUGAACAUUGAGCCUUGAUGUGUAGGAUAGGUGGGAGGCUUUGAAGUGUGGACGCCAGUCUGCAUGGAGCCGGCCUUGAAAUACCACCCUUUAAUGUUUGAUGUUCUAACGUGGACCCGUGAUCCGGGUUGCGGACAGUGUCUGGUGGGUAGUUUGACUGGGGCGGUCUCCUCCUAAAGAGUAACGGAGGAGCACGAAGGUUGGCUAAUCCUGGUCGGACAUCAGGAGGUUAGUGCAAUGGCAUAAGCCAGCUUGACUGCGAGCGUGACGGCGCGAGCAGGUGCGAAAGCAGGUCAUAGUGAUCCGGUGGUUCUGAAUGGAAGGGCCAUCGCUCAACGGAUAAAAGGUACUCCGGGGAUAACAGGCUGAUACCGCCCAAGAGUUCAUAUCGACGGCGGUGUUUGGCACCUCGAUGUCGGCUCAUCACAUCCUGGGGCUGAAGUAGGUCCCAAGGGUAUGGCUGUUCGCCAUUUAAAGUGGUACGCGAGCUGGGUUUAGAACGUCGUGAGACAGUUCGGUCCCUAUCUGCCGUGGGCGCUGGAGAACUGAGGGGGGCUGCUCCUAGUACGAGAGGACCGGAGUGGACGCAUCACUGGUGUUCGGGUUGUCAUGCCAAUGGCACUGCCCGGUAGCUAAAUGCGGAAGAGAUAAGUGCUGAAAGCAUCUAAGCACGAAACUUGCCCCGAGAUGAGUUCUCCCUGAGACUUAGAGUCUCCUGAAGGAACGUUGAAGACGACGACGUUGAUAGGCCGGGUGUGUAAGCGCAGCGAUGCGUUGAGCUAACCGGUACUAAUGAACCGUGAGGCUUAACCUUACAACGCCGAA